rnacentral:rRNA from 1 species
CGCGCAGGCGGUCCUGUAAGUCAGGCGUGAAAGCCCGGGGCUCAACCCCGGAAGUGCACUUGAAACUAUGGGACUUGAGUAUGGGAGAGGGAAGUGGAAUUCCUGGUGUAGCGGUGAAAUGCGUAGAUAUCAGGAGGAACAUCGGUGGCGAAGGCGACUUCCUGGACCAAUACUGACGCUGAGGCGCGAAGGCGUGGGGAGCAAACA